CGAGUCUAAGGGGUACUUGUACCCCUGGCAUAAUGCUCAGUAACACGUGCAUUAUCUACCCUUAGGUGGGGCAUAAACCCGGGAAACUGGGCCUAAUUCCCCAUAGAUACAGAAGGCUGGAAUGCCUCUGUAUUCAAAGCUCCGGCGCCUAAGGAUGAGUCUGCGACCUAUCAGGUAGUAGUCAGGGUCACGACCUGACUAGCCAACGACGGGUACGGGGUGUGAGAGCACUUGCCCGGAGAUGGUUUCUGAGACACGAAACCAGGCCCUACGGGGCGCAGCAGGCGCGAAAACUUCGCAAUGCGGGAAACCGUGACGAGGGAGCUCCAAGUGUCUAUGCAAUGCAUAGACUGUUUUUCAGCCUAAAUAGCUGUUAGAGUAAGGGGUGGGUAAGACCGGUGCCAGCCGCCGCGGUAACACCGGCACCCCGAGUGGUAGCCACUAUUAUUGGGCCUAAAGCGUUCGUAGCCGGUUUAGUAAAUUCUUGGGUAAAUCGUACAGCUUAACUGUGCGGAUUCCGGGGACACUACUAGACUUGAGACCGGGAGAGAUUAGAGGUACUUGCAGGGGAGCGGUGAAAUGUUGUAAUCCUGCAGGGACCACCAGUGGCGAAGGCGUCUAAUCAUAACGGCUCUGACGGUGAGGAACGAAACCCUGGGGCGCAAACGGGAUUAGAUACCCCGGUAGUCCAGGGCGUAAACGCUGCUGACUUGGUGUUGGAGAUCCUACG
rnacentral:rRNA from 1 species